GACGAACGCUGGCGGCGUGCUUAACACAUGCAAGUCGAACGGAAAGGCCCUGCUUGCAGGGUACUCGAGUGGCGAACGGGUGAGUAACACGUGGGUGAUCUGCCCUGCACUUCGGGAUAAGCCUGGGAAACUGGGUCUAAUACCGGAUAGGAGCCAUUUUUAGUGUGAUGGUUGGAAAGUUUUUUCGGUGUAGGAUGAGCUCGCGGCCUAUCAGCUUGUUGGUGGGGUAAUGGCCUACCAAGGCGGCGACGGGUAGCCGGCCUGAGAGGGUGGACGGCCACAUUGGGACUGAGAUACGGCCCAGAUUCCUACGGGAGGCAGCAGUGGGGAAUAUUGCACAAUGGGCGCAAGCCUGAUGCAGCGACGCCGCGUGGGGGAUGACGGCCUUCGGGUUGUAAACUCCUUUCGCUAGGGACGAAGCUUUUUGUGACGGUACCUAGAUAAGAAGCACCGGCUAACUACGUG
rnacentral:rRNA from 1 species